UUGAUGAGCGCCAAAGCCCCUUUUCCUUUAUUCUCCGCUCUUUUUCUUCUCUCUCACACAAUGCAUCUUAUUUCCCCUUCCUUCGGCCGUAAGAUUCAAACCCUAAAAAUCAGAUGAUGCUUCCCUUCAACGAUUCCAUUGAGAAAACCCUAAAAUCUUCCAUUGCAUUGCAUCGCAUCUAUUACUCUGAUUCAAGUUUAUUGAUCGUUGAUCUCUUAAACCAAAUCAAUCUUAAAGUAUAUUUGUUUUUAAUUCAUAGUUUCCAUCUGUUUUCAGAAUAUUCAGAAGAUCUGUGUAGCCAUGUCUUAUGCUUACCUCUUCAAGUACAUUAUCAUCAUUGGAGAUACUGGUUUGUUACUGGCAAUCUAAAAUUGGACACAGUUAGUAUUUUAGAUAUAACCAGUUUCUUUACCCGAUCUAUUUAUCAUCGGCUUCACAUUCACAAACCCUAAUGUUUAUCGCCGUUUAUUCGCAACCAAGUCUCAGUUUUAGGAUUUGUGGGUCUGUGAAUCGGGGCUGGAGAACAAGAAUCAAAGAAAUUGGAGCAAUUUAUCAUUCUGCAAUACUCCCAAAAAAUGAAUGGAAAUUGAAAGGAACAGAGCUUCCACUAACAACACUUUCUAUCCCAUUCUUAAUUUUAAAAGUUGGACAAUGAAGUGUUUCAAGUCCACUACGUGAUCGGGCCCACUCCCAGCUGAUGUUACGGUUUUGAACCAUUAGUCGAACCACCUAUUACAUUUGGAAACUGAAUUUGCUGUAUUGAGAUUAUUAAGCUAUAGUUGCAUAUCAUGGAUAUGAGGUAAAAUUCAUGUGGUAAGAGAUGAGAUAGAGCAACUCAUGGAUGAUGAUGGAGAUAUGGCUGAAAUGUAUUUGGUUGAGAAAAAAAGCAUAUGGAGUCAUUAUUCUGUAGUGGAGAUCAAUCUUUGGCAGGACACAAAUCAAUGAAUGGGAUUCAGUCUAUUUUUGCUUUGAUUUCUCCUGUUUCUUCACCUCCAACUGGUCGAAGUUUUGACAGAAAUUUGAGCCUUGCAAGGAGCAUGAAUGAGAGCACAAGUAGUUUAGAGAGUGCGAUAGUGCUACUGAAAACAUUGGUAUUGCAACUCCGUACACAUUGAAGGAAAAUGCGCUCAUUUUGAUGAGAAUUGUUAACUUUCAUACCCUUCUCUUGGAAUCUUGCAUUGGUUAUAUUUCGUCACCUGACUUAAUAAUAAGUUGUUGGCUGGUGAUGUAAUUAUUUCCGGUCUUCAGGUUGAUGCUUCAAGGUAAUAGAGUACGUUAUACUUGGCCUCCUUAAUUGUUUCACAUAUUUUCUAGAAGGUGGCAAAAAACUCAACCUAAUAAGAAAGAGGCCAAAUAGCUGGAGAGUUCCCCAAUGUGUAGAGUUGGGUUUUGACCCAUUUCACACCCGUACAGUUAAUUUAAGUGUUCUGACACAUUUCGCACCCUUACAGUAGAGUUAACCGUUUUGGCUCAUUUUGCACCCGUACAGUAGAGUUAACCAUUUUGACCCAUUACUCAACUCGCAUGCAUGUCCAUUUUGGCCACAAUAAUUUUAUGUGUUUAAUUGGAAGCUUAAUCCUCGAUUGGAAGCUUUAGCCACAGGUGUGAGCAUGAACUUGCUAUAACAUGAUUAAAUUGUCGCGAGAUAACUCUUUAAUAAUCUUUAAAAUUUGUGUGUAGAUUUGUAUGCUUUGACAAGAUAUUUUGAUGCUAAAGAUCGAACAAAUGAAAAAAAUAACGACAAAUCUAAGCUUAGGUAAGACCAACUUUAGGACUAACUUCCUGCUAAUGAACCUGGUGCCUCAAAUUUGGGGAUUUAUGCCUGAAAAUAGUAGAUUAUGGAUAUUACUGGGUUUGCCAAAAUUAGUUGCUACUAUUAGUUUUUUUAAUAUCAUUAUAUUUUCUUUAACCUUGGAUCUACACCUAUAAUCAUAGUAGAUGACUGUAGAUACAUUGAUUUAUUGCAUAAACCAAAAUUGAUACUUUCAUGUUGGUACACAAAUGAGUUCAGAGGAGACACUUUGAUAAAGUAAUUUGACAUUUUUUUGGAAAGGUUUUGGGGUUUACUACAAAAUGUUUGCUGUAUGUUGAUCAAUGGUUAUUUGUUUUGAAGAUGAAUUUUGUAUAUGGCUGAUUAGACGCAAAAUAGAAAUAAAGAAGCAAAUAAUAGAAAAAGUAGUGCACUUGAAUCACUUUAUCAAGGUGGAGUGGCUGAAUGACAAAAAUGAUAACACUGAGGAAGAAGAUUGAGUGAUCAUAUUAUGUACGUAUAUUAUACGCAAUUGUUCUGGUGUGCUUAUUGUCUUUAUACAUCAAGACAUUAGUUUGUAAGUUUUAUUUGAAGGAUCCUAUUAUUUGCUAAA